CUCUCAACGCCCUGAAAGCCAACUCUGGCCAAACGAGAAGCAAAAUAGUCCCGCUAUCAAUGAAAUGCCAUUUUCAGUCUAUAACAUUUUGUUAUGCUGCGCAGCAGGAAAGUUGGAGCGCAUCCUGCUCUCAGGCUAGAUAACAUUCGCACUUCCCACUACUGAAUAAGAAGGUGGGAAAUCAAGUGGUGAGAAGACAAAAAGGACACACAGCUCCUCUACAGUGGACACGGGGCAUUUUCCACCUGGCACACACUUCUUAAUGGAACAAAUGUGGAUUCAUCAGGAGCGGCCAAGCAGGGCAUGGCUUUAAGCAGACUCCUGCUGCUCUGUAUGCUAGCCUCUGAGGUGUGGGAUGCUGAGACCAAACCCAUAGAAUUUAUGUGUAAUAAAGGCGCCAGGAGGGCUAUGAAUAUUGUGGCAGAGAUGGAGAGUGUACUGAGUAACUGUAAUGGCUCGACAACCCUAUCCACACCGGUUCAGCUACCCUGUAUCGAGCUUCAUGUAGCAUCUUGGGAAAACAAAUCAGUAUGUUGGCACAUCACCAGGAGAAGAGAGGAGACAUAGUUGCAUCCUUGAGUCUUCUUAUUGAAGGUGUGAAAGUUGUGAAAUCCCCAAGCCAGCCAGAAUGUGCCGCUUCGCUACUGCAGAGACUGGAGAACAACAUCAACAACUACCUGCUCAUUCUCACACACCUUCAGCUGAGUGGGCCAGUGGGGAGUCCAGCACUGUCUUGUGUUCCUCGAAGCACCCAGAGUCUGAGCACAAUCCUCGUUAACUACAACCAACUGAUCAUAGGCAAACUGGAGCGGUUCAUGAUAAACCUGGAAGACCGCUGCAUUUCCCAGUAACACAAGAACAACUCGGUAAAAAGUAAAAAGAAGAAAUACACCCUUCUCUGCUGGUCAUUAGGAGGAGCUGGAGAAGUAGAGAAAAUGACAGACAGCAAUAUGUCUGCAAGUAUGAACAUUAUGGACAAAUGAAUAUAUGACAGAAGGGCAGUUUUUUUGUAUCAUUCUACAUAAAACUAGGAAUGUUUUUUUUUUUUUUUUGAGUACGUAGCCUACAGGCAGCUUUUCCAAGUCUUCACUGGAUGCAAAAUGAUCCUAAUCAGAAUGAUUGUUUCACAUCAGAAGUUGUGGUCCUGCUUGAUUACAUGGCCAAUCCAAAAAGUCAACUUGUUUGGAUUCAUGUUCUUAUACCAGAUUUGUUUUGCUCCUUAGUCAGUAGUAAAAAGGUCUUGAAAAGUGGAUGAACUCUCACAGCCCAUAUCCAGUCCCCAAACUAUUUUAUCUUUAAUUUCAAUCAAGUUCGUUUUUGCAAAUAAGAUACUGCUAACAUUAGACAGUCCUUGCACAUUGUUAGUGGAAUUAAAAAAAAAUCAAAUACACUUACUGAAGAAUCAUGGAAAGUGUUCCUAUAGUCUACAUUUCUGGAAUGACUUUAGUGAGCAAAUGUGGUUUAUUCUUAAUGCACUUUUAGAUCUUACCUCUGUUUACAUUUUUAUUUUAAAAGUUAUUGAUUUGCUGUAAAUGUGUGCAUGCUUCUAUGUAUUGCUUUUUUACAAAUUCAGGAAAUCUAUCUUAGGUGUCUUUGUUAAUUUGUAUAUGUAAAUAAUCGGAUUUUGCAUUUAAGAGGACAUUUUUGCUACACUUUAUAUUGAUACAAUUUUGUUUAUGAUACAAAACCUUUGCAAUAUAAUAUGCAAUAAACUCUAAAUUUCAUAGAUCCAUUUA